CCUACGGGAGGCAGCAGUGAGGAAUAUUGGUCAAUGGACGAGAGUCUGAACCAGCCAAGUAGCGUGAAGGAUGACUGCCCUAUGGGUUGUAAACUUCUUUUAUAUGGGAAUAAACUGUUCCACGUGUGGGAUUUUGUAUGUACCAUAUGAAUAAGGAUCGGCUAACUCCGUGCCAGCAGCCGCGGUAAUACGGAGGAUCCGAGCGUUGUCCGGAUUUAUUGGGUUUAAAGGGAGCGUAGGUGGAUUGUUAAGUCAGUUGUGAAAGUUUGCGGCUCAACCGUAAAAUUGCAGUUGAAACUGGCAGUCUUGAGUACAGUAGAGGUGGGCGGAAUUCGUGGUGUAGCGGUGAAAUGCGUAGAUAUCACGAAGAACUCCGAUUGCGAAGGCAGUUCACUGGACUGCAACGGACACUGAGGCUCGAAAGUGUGGGUAUCAAACAGGAUUAGAUACCCCAGUAGUC
rnacentral:rRNA from 1 species